UUUUCCUACGGGAGGCAGCAGUGAGGAAUAUUGGUCAAUGGCCGAGAGGCUGAACCAGCCAAGUCGCGUGAGGGAUGACGGCCCUACGGGUUGUAAACCUCUUUUGUCGGGGAGCAAAGAGAGUCACGUGUGGCUCAUUGAGAGUACCCGAAGAAAAAGCAUCGGCUAACUCCGUGCCAGCAGCCGCGGUAAUACGGAGGAUGCGAGCGUUAUCCGGAUUUAUUGGGUUUAAAGGGUGCGCAGGCGGGAGAUCAAGUCAGCGGUAAAAUGUCGGGGCUCAACCCCGGCCGGCCGUUGAAACUGGU
rnacentral:rRNA from 1 species